UACGAAGGGGGGCUAGCGUUGCUCGGAAUCACUGGGCGUAAAGGGUGCGUAGGCGGGUCUUUAAGUCAGGGGGUGAAAUCCUGGAGCUCAACUCCAGAACUGCCUUUGAUACUGGCGGUCUCGAGUCCGGGAGAGGUGAGUGGAACUGCGAGUGUAGAGGUGAAAUUCGUAGAUAUUCGCAAGAACACCAGUGGCGAAGGCGGCUCACUGGCCCGAUACUGACGCUGAGGCACGAAAGCGUGGGGGAUCAAACAGG
rnacentral:rRNA from 1 species